UCCAUAAACUGUUAUGAAUCUUAUUUCACAGGUUUUUUUUUUUCCUCCAGAUAUUUAGCCCUUGCCUCACCUAAGUCAGAAUUUUUAUUUUUGCUUCUGUGCUUUUGCUCAGCUAUUUCCUUGGCCCCACUCCCCUUGGUUUAUAUUCUAUUGACCCUUCAAGGUCCAGUCUAAAUCCUAAUUUUAACUUAAAACUGUAGGCUACAUACUUCAGUUCAUGAAUGUUUGUUUUCUUUUCUGUUUGCCAGGGAUGAGUCUAUGAACUAGGAUGCUGGAAAGAAAUUACCUCAUUUCACUUUCUGUAGCAUUCAGCAGCUUCUUUGGUGACCAGCUACGUCGUUUGGCAGCGGGCUAAAGGGCUCACAAUUGCAUGGAGCAAGAAGCAUGCUGAACCAUGAUGUUCCAGUUUAAAAGGACAGAGCUACAAACAAAGGAAUACAGCAGGGUGGGAAGAACUGAAUUAGGAAUCCCAUGAGCUGAGUUGUAGCCCCUGCUCAUUCAUUCAUUCAUUUCCCUGCCUUGAGAUCUAGAAAAAAUAUACAUUUUGAAAUCAGAACAAACUGUUUUUGAACUUGCUACACUUCACCAGCGAUGUGACUUUGGGGGUAAGUUAUCAUCCCUUCUGAAUCUCAGCUUUAACAUUAGGAUUAUAUGAAAUGGUGUAUAUAGUAUACCUAGGACAGUGCUUGGCACAUUUUUGGCAUUCUCUAAGUAUUAGUUCCCUUUUCCUUCUCAUCAUGACACCAAAAUGUUUACUUAUUUUAACAGAUAUGAAUGUUUGAUAACUUAGAAUAACAUGAAAAAUUUAUCUCAUUUAUGUUUCCAAGGCAUAGUAUAAAAAUCCAUGCUUUUAUUUGCAUGGAUUAAGAGGCAAAGAAUUAUAUUUUCAAACAAGACAUUUUCUUGGGAAUUUGUUUACCUUGCAUAAUGCAAACAUAAGCUACAAUUGGGUUAAUGACCUAAAUGUGAAGCUAAAGCC